AAACAGACCUGGAAUGAAUCCUUCUCGCUGUACGUAAACUGAGACAGGAUCAACUCUAUGACUGUGGCAGGGAGAAGCCACACGUGGAGUCACACUGUCAGGAUCCAGGAUCGAUCUUAAUCAGAUUGCAAGUUUUUCAGCCUCGGAACCAUAUCAUCACAGUGACUAGCCAAGUGUAAAGGGGAUCCCGGAGAAACUCCGACCCGCCUGCGCGCUGGGAGAAUGGGGUGGAGUCACGAAGUUCACGCGCUUUGCAGAGGGGCGGAGCCUCGCCUCUCCUGAUCCUGGAUAGUACCUGGGGUUCUGUCGCUGAGGCGGGAAAACCGGCUAGCGGGACUGUUGCUUUGCUGAGAGUCCGUUUCCCCUUUUUUCCUUUUGGCCCAAUAAAUUCCAUUUUUUCUCACCCUUCAAA